AUGGCGGCGGAGGGAGGG
rnacentral:misc_RNA from 1 species